AUUCCCGGGCAACCGCAUAAACGAAUUGUUUCUAUUGGACUGGAUAGGUUUCUCGGGUAGCCUACUCCCGCUGUAAAUAUACAGUCAUUUUCGUUCGACUUCUCACAUUGCCAUCGGUUACUGUUAGCGAAAAGAGAUUCUAAAAAAGUCAAUAUUAAAUCAAAACGACUUUAACUUUGAUUUUUUAAUGUUUUGUAUUUGGCUAGUUUUUUUUUUUUUUCCAACACACAUACAGUACCUGUUGCAGCAAGGGGUUCUGCAGAUCCACAAGAGUCGUCAGGAUGAAUACCUAUAAUUUGGAAAUCAUUGUUAACACCCGCCCCAGGAAAAAAACCUUUUUAAAUAAAAAAAAUCAUAGGAGUAUAAUAAGCCUGCUUUUUGUUAAAUGGAAACAUUUAUUUUGUAUAUACCAGUACAAAUAGAGUUUUGACAGGUACCAAAUCCAGAAAGACAAUCUUCCUUUUUAAAACAGUGAAGAGGUUUUUUUUUUCGCCUCGUAUCAAGUUGGUUGAAAGUGUUGUCCGUCAGUGGGGGUAAACUACUUUCUUCACUGAUUUCUUGUAAAUACCUUGGUUUGGUUAAAGGCUUGCAUGGCGUCAUUUUCUUUUUUUUUAUAACAUGGUGCAUAUCGUUGAGUAUAGCUUGUAUGGUAUUAACAAGAUGAGAAAAAAAUGGAAUGCUUCUUAUAUGAAAUGAUCGCUUAAAAACUGUAUUAACCAGAAAAGGGUGCUCAUACAAUUUUAAGUGAUAGGUAAGAAAAAGCUGUUUGAACGCAUAAUGUAGCUUUAAUAGUCUGCGAUAACUCUUCACAAGUCGAGCUGAAUGGAUGUUUCUUAUAAAACAAGAGUCCUUGAUUUGACUGGUUAACCGUAAAGUGUUUCUGGAAAAGAAAGUAACACAUUUUUCCUUCCAUGUUUGGGUGUGACUUUUAAAACACCAGAAACAUGGGAUGUCGUGAGAAAAUUUGUAGUGCCUAUCCAAUGACGCAUGAAUCAAACAAUCUUUUAAGAAUGUUUUUUUCGCCGUCCAUACGUCCUCCAAACUGUUUUCUAUAUGUGAAGCAUCUACAAAUAACUUUUUUUUUCUACAGACCUGAACAUAAAACGCAACACUUAUUUGAGGAGCGUUACCAAAGUUUAAAUGAAAACUACAAAGAGUACAAAGAACGCAUUACUGAUACUAGAAAUAUUUUUUACGAUUGUAU